GGACAAGGUUCCUGGCGGUGAGGACAAGGUUCCUGGCGUUGAGGACAAGGUUCCUGGCGUUGAGGACAAAGUUCCUGGCGCUGAGGACGAGGUUCCUGGCGGUGAGGACGAGGUUCCUGGCGAUGAGGACAAGGUUCCUGGCGCUGAGGACAAGGUUCCAGGCGGUGAGGACAAGGUUCCUGCCGCUGAGGACAAGGUUCCUGCCGGUGAGCACAAGGUUUCUGCUGGUGAGGACAAGGUUCCUGGCGUUGAGGACAAGGCUCCUGGCGGUGAGCACGAGGUUCCUGGGGGUGAGGACAAGGUUCCUGGCGAUGAGGACAAGGUUCCUGGCGGUGAGGACAAGGUUCCAGGCGGUGAGGACAAGGUUCCUGGCGGUGAGGACAAGGUUCCUGGCGUUGAGGACAAGGUUCCUGGUGCUGAGGACAAGGUUCCUGGCGCUGAGGACAAGGUUCCUGGCGCUGAGGACAAGGUUCCUGGCAGCGAGGACAAGGUUCCUGGCGUUGAGGACAAGGUUCCUGGCGUUGAGGACAAGGUUCCUGGCGGUGAGGACAAG